UGUCGUCAUGACCACAGUCCUGCCAUUAGACCCAAAGAGCAUGAUGCCCAACACGGACACGGAGGGAAAACAGAUCGAUGCAUCGCCAUCCGCCCCGCUCUCCCAGAUCCAAACUGCGUAAACUACCUUCAAGGAAGAAGAUGCCAGUUCCACAGAUGACUCCUCAAGGCCGAGAUCUCGUCUUCUUUCCGCUCGAACCUCAGCAUAACUGGGGGGGAAAAGGAAAAGGAAAAGAGUUUUCAAUGCGAGGAAUGCAAUGUUUUGUUUUCUAUUUGCAUUCCCCCAAUCGGCCCUUUUCUUCGUCUGAAGUCUCUAUUACAGGUCCAGCAUUCUCUACUUUGAAACCCAAAAUCCAAAACACUCAGAAAUUAUCCAUCUGGGCUGCUGAGAUAGUGAGGCCUUUGCUUGCUGAUGGGGUCAAACAUACAAAAUCUAUACACAUAAUAAAAGUGAAAAAUGCGUAUGUGUGUAUGUGUAGACACCUCCAAGGUCAUGUGGCUAUAGGCAUGACUGCAUGGAGCGCCGUUACCUUCCUGCCAGAGCAGUACCUAUUGAUGUACUCACAUCUUGCAUGUUUUCCAACUGCUAGGUUGGCAGAAGCUGGAGCUAACAACUGGCACUCACUCUGCUCCCCGGAUUCGAACCUGCGACCUUUUGGUCUGUAAGUUCAGCAGCACUGCACCACCGGGGGCUUGAGGCAUAUUUAUUCCCUAUGUUCUCUGUGUGAUUUCAGAAAGACUCAUAUAUAUGUUGUUGCCCUGUUUGAACUUUUGAACUGAAGUAAAGAUAUUGUUAAUUGUUACACAA